rnacentral:rRNA from 1 species
CCCUUAGAGUUUGAUCCUGGCUCAGGACGAACGCUGGCGGCGUGCUUAACACAUGCAAGUCGAACGAAGAGCGAUGGAAGCUUGCUUCUAUCAAUCUUAGUGGCGAACGGGUGAGUAACGCGUAAUCAACCUGCCCUUCAGAGGGGGACAACAGUUGGAAACGACUGCUAAUACCGCAUACGAUCUAAUCUCGGCAUCGAGGAUGGAUGAAAGGUGGCCUCUAUUUAUAAGCUAUCACUGAAGGAGGGGAUUGCGUCUGAUUAGCUAGUUGGAGGGGUAACGGCCCACCAAGGCGAUGAUCAGUAGCCGGUCUGAGAGGAUGAACGGCCACAUUGGGACUGAGACACGGCCCAGACUCCUACGGGAGGCAGCAGUGGGGAAUCUUCCGCAAUGGACGAAAGUCUGACGGAGCAACGCCGCGUGAGUGAUGACGGCCUUCGGGUUGUAAAGCUCUGUUAAUCGGGACGAAAGGCCUUCUUGCGAAUAGUUAGAAGGAUGA